CGGUAGGUCUCUAGACGUUACAGAGAACCUCGAACAACCCAAACUAUUAAUCUUCAAUACCGCUUUGUACUUAGGAUCUUGUAUCCACUGACUGUCUUAUUAGAUUAAUCCAAUAAAUUUCAUUUACUCCGCAUACUCAAUCCUAUAGACACCCUUUUAAUCCUUCAAUCACAGACGUAACUCGAUUUUACAAAACAGUCAAGAGUAUU
rnacentral:lncRNA from 1 species